CGGAUGAGAAGAGCUUGCUCUUCGAUUCAGCUGGCGGACGGGUGAGUAAUGCCUAGGAAUCUGCCUGGUAGUGGGGGACAACGUUUCGAAAGGAACGCUAAUACCGCAUACGUCCUACGGGAGAAAGCAGGGGACCUUCGGGCCUUGCGCUAUCAGAUGAGCCUAGGUCGGAUUAGCUAGUUGGUGAGGUAAUGGCUCACCAAGGCGACGAUCCGUAACUGGUCUGAGAGGAUGAUCAGUCACACUGGAACUGAGACACGGUCCAGACUCCUACGGGAGGCAGCAGUGGGGAAUAUUGGACAAUGGGCGAAAGCCUGAUCCAGCCAUGCCGCGUGUGUGAAGAAGGUCUUCGGAUUGUAAAGCACUUUAAGUUGGGAGGAAGGGCAGUAAGUUAAUACCUUGCUGUUUUGACGUUACCGACAGAAUAAGCACCGGCUAACUCUGUGCCAGCAGCCGCGGUAAUACAGAGGGUGCAAGCGUUAAUCGGAAUUACUGGGCGUAAAGCGCGCGUAGGUGGUUCGUUAAGUUGGAUGUGAAAGCCCCGGGCUCAACCUGGGAACUGCAUCCAAAACUGGCGAGCUAGAGUAUGGUAGAGGGUGGUGGAAUUUCCUGUGUAGCGGUGAAAUGCGUAGAUAUAGGAAGGAACACCAGUGGCGAAGGCGACCACCUGGACUGAUACUGACACUGAGGUGCGAAAAGCGUGGGGAGCAAACAGGAUUAGAUACCCUGGUAGUCCACGCCGUAAACGAUGUCAACUAGCCGUUGGCAAUCUUGACGAUUUAAGUGGCGCAGUAACGCUUAAGUUGACCGCUGGGGACUACGGCGCAGGUUAAUCAG
rnacentral:rRNA from 1 species